CAGCACAAGAGGGUGGCAGCAGCACAGCCCAGCAGCUCGGAGUCAGGGAGCACCAGGGAGUGCCACAGCUCCUCAGUGUCUGCACUUCCAAGAGCACCAGCACCUGAGCCCAUGGUGCACACUGCUGUGCAGUCCAUUGAAGGAAUAUUGAAGGAAAUGUGCAGCCCCCUGUCCCCUCUCCUGCCAUCCCUUCAGUCACCCGAGAGAACAGAGACUUCCAAAUUUCCUGUGCAGGCAAAGGUAACCCAGCCCACUUAUUACGGGGCUUCCAAUAAAUGACAAGAGAUCUUGCUGCUGAGCAGAAGUCCAGUCUUGGCAGAAGGAGCCUGCCUGGAGACCUGCCUGAGUUCCCUGACCAUAAACAGUGUUGAGAGUUAGAAACCAAGCAGCAGCUGUACCUUGUGUGGGGCUGCAUUAUACCCAGGUGGUUUUGGUUUGGUUUUUUGUUAACUUCAGUGAAAGAAGGACUCUGAUUUUAUAUGUCUAAAUGACAAAUAUUCUUGUCUCUUGUGAACUGUCUUAGAAGAAUUGGCAAUUAUUUUUUCUAACUGCUCUAAUGUUUUUUUAAACUACUGAGGUUUUAUGCACAAGUCUUACAUGCAGCCUGUGCCUUUGCAGGCAAGGAUCAACUGCUUCAACAGCAGCUUAGGGAAAGUGCAGUUUCAUAAAGGGAGCAGAUUACAAAAACAUACUUUAUUUUAAAAUUACAGAUAAUAAGGAUAUGGUAGUGAUGAUGAUGAUAAUGAUAAUAACUAAAACAAUUAUAAUCCUUUAAAAAAUUAGUAAU